CCUACGGGAGGCAGCAGUGAGGAAUAUUGGUCAAUGGGCGCUAGCCUGAACCAGCCAAGUAGCGUGAAGGAUGACUGCCCUAUGGGUUGUAAACUUCUUUUAUAUGGGAAUAAAGUGCAGUAUGUAUACUGCUUUGCAUGUACCUUAUGAAUAAGGAUCGGCUAAGUCCGUGCCAGGAGCCGCGGUAAUACGGAGGAUCCGAGCGUUAUCCGGAUUUAUUGGGUUUAAAGGGAGCGUAGGCGGGUUGUUAAGUCAGUUGUGAAAGUUUGCGGCUCAACCGUGACAUUGCAGUUGAUACUGGCGUCCUUGAGUACAGGAGAGGUAGGCGGAAUUCGUGGUGUAGCGGUGAAAUGCUUAGAUAUCACGAAGAACUCCGAUUGCGAAGGCAGCCUGCUGGACUGUAACUGACGCUGAUGCUCGAAAGUGUGGGUAUCAAACAGGAUUAGAUACCCGAGUAGUC
rnacentral:rRNA from 1 species